GGCACUUCAACGCUCCGGUGGCUUAGUGAUUAUAUAGUCCGCCUCGGAUGCCGGAGGUCACGGGUUCGAACCCCUGCCGUGUCA